UAUCUUUGUCACCGUUAAGGUUCCCAGGUAACAAACUGUUGCUAAGGAUUAAAAGGGAAUGCCGUGCAAGUCGGCAACAGUUCCCGCUGCUGUAAGGUUGACGACCUCUUGUGAGAGGCUUGUUAGUAUCGAUCUUUUGCCACUAUUUCCGGAAGGAAUGGGAAGGCAGAUACGUAACCGAGUCAGAAGACCUGCCUUAACAGUAUAUAUUAA
rnacentral:ncRNA from 1 species